rnacentral:rRNA from 1 species
ACGCGUGGGUAACCUGCCUUACACAGGGGGAUAACAGUUAGAAAUGACUGCUAAUACCGCAUAAGACCCCGGUACCGCAUGGUACAGAGGUAAAAACUGAGGUGGUGUAAGAUGGACCCGCGUCUGAUUAGGUAGUUGGUGAGGUAACGGCUCACCAAGCCGACGAUCAGUAGCCGGCCUGAGAGGGUGGACGGCCACAUUGGGACUGAGACACGGCCCAGACUCCUACGGGAGGCAGCAGUGGGGAAUAUUGCACAAUGGGGGAAACCCUGAUGCAGCGACGCCGCGUGAGCGAUGAAGUAUUUCGGUAUGUUAAGCUCUAUCAGCAGGGAAGAAAAUGACGGUACCUGACUAAGAAGCCCCGGCUAACUACGUGCCAGCAGCCGCGGUAAUACGUAGGGGGCAAGCGUUAUCCGGAUUUACUGGGUGUAAAGGGAGCGUAGACGGCAUGGCAAGCCAGAUGUGAAAUACCGGGGCUCAACCCCGGGACUGCAUUUGGAACUGUUAAGCUGGAGUGUCGGAUAGGCAGGCGGAAUUCCUAGUGUAGCGGUGAAAUGCGUAGAUAUUAGGAGGAACACCAGUGGCGAAGGCGGCCUGCUGGACGAUAACUGACGUUGAGGCUCGAAAGCGUGGGGAGCAAACAGGAUUAG